rnacentral:rRNA from 1 species
AUACGUAGGGUGCGAGCGUUAAUCGGAAUUACUGGGCGUAAAGCGUGCGCAGGCGGUUUUGUAAGACAGUGGUGAAAUCCCCGGGCUCAACCUGGGAACUGCCAUUGUGACUGCAAGGCUGGAGUGCGGCAGAGGGGGAUGGAAUUCCGCGUGGAGCAGUGAAAUGCGUAGAUACGCGGAGGAACACCGAUGGCGAAGGCAAUCCCCUGGGCCUGCACUGACGCUCAUGCACGAAAGCGUGGGGAGCAAAUAGGAUUAGAUACCCUGGUAGUCCACGCCCUAAACGAUGUCAACUGGUUGUUGGGAAUUUAUUUUCUCAGUAACGAAGCUAACGCGUGAAGUUGACCGCCUGGAGAGUACGGCCGCAAGGUUAAGACUUAAAGGAAUUGACGGGG